UCAGCUUCCCCUCUGACCUGGGCAUCAUGUCCCGAUGCUCUGGCUCCGUGGGGGUCGUUCCGCUUCUGCCGCCUCCGCUGCUUCUCCCACACAACGCUGCCAUCCCCGGCUGCCUCGGGCUUUGUGUUCUGAUUCCUCGUUCGCCUGUCCCCAGUGCACUCCAUCCAGGCGGUGUCUGCUCAUCCCGGAUCCCCGGACUCCUGCCCAGGCGUGGUGUGCCUCUUCCCUGCUCUGCUGAUUUCACGGAUUCUCCCUCUUGGGUGCCAUUUGCCCGGUCUCUGGAAGAUGGCCUUGGGGGAUCCGUAGGUGGGAGUUUGGGGCUUGUCUGUACCCUAGGACGGUCUGCUCCCAUCCACACACACCCCCACCGCCUCCUGCUGUCCUUGGUCCCCUUGGGGAUCCUUACUCAAAGUUGACCAUCCAAUCUCCAUUGUCUUGCACCACCUCCACCAGCUUACGUCCCAUUCCUGGACGUCAACUUCAGGGGCCCUCUCUGCUUGGUGACGCAGCGGGCAGUGCCACCGGGAGAGCGUGUGGAGUCGGGAGGGCUCGGUACCCAAUGUGAUCAGAGAGCUGGACCUGCCCCCAGGAUGGCUUGGGCAGCGGGAUAGAGCCCGGGCACUGGGAGCACCUGGAUGGUGAGGUGAAGCCUCCAACUCUUGUUUUCUGCUCUGGUUGUGAUCUCAUGUGUGGUGGGAUGGAACCGCGCCUGGGGCUCCCAGCUCAGUGGGGAGUCAGCCUGAGAUUCUCUCCCUCUGCCCCUGCACAUGCUCUCCUGCUCUCCCUCUCUCUCAAAUAAAUAAAUCUUUUUUUAAAAAAAUUA